UACGUAGGUGGCAAGCGUUGUCCGGAUUUACUGGGCGUAAAGAGCGCGCAGGCGGUCGUGCAAGUCGCGUGUGAAAUCCCCAGGCUUAACCUGGGAACUGCAUUCGAGACUGCAUAGCUAGAGUAUGGGAGAGGGAAGUGGAAUUUCAGGUGUAGCGGUGAAAUGCGUAGAUAUCUGAAGGAACAUCAGUGGCGAAAGCGACUUCCUGGACCAAUACUGACGCUCAUGUGCGAAAGCGUGGGGAGCAAACAGG
rnacentral:rRNA from 1 species